CGGCCCUUUUCGCCGCCUCGCAAGCGGGCACUGGCUUCAGAAAAGGAUGUCCCUUGGCCGUUAGCGCAGGCAUGUCGUAGUGCUUGCUGUCACGGCAUUAUCGCCAGUGUUGCUGUCGUGAAGCGGUCUUUGCAUGGACCGCACAAUGAAGAUACGGAACGUCUGUAUCGUGCUUCUUGUUUCUGGUGUGUUGUGCCUUCACGCAGACCAGAGUUACCCCAGUAAUUCUGUUCUCGUAAAGACCAGCGACCAGGGCAGGUAAACGAGGAUGCCGCCUUUCGGGGCGGCUUUCCUU
rnacentral:sRNA from 1 species